UACGAAGGGGGCUAGCGUUGCUCGGAAUCACUGGGCGUAAAGCGCACGUAGGCGGCUUCUUAAGUCAGGGGUGAAAUCCUGGAGCUCAACUCCAGAACUGCCUUUGAUACUGAAGAUCUUGAGUUCGGGAGAGGUGAGUGGAACUGCGAGUGUAGAGGUGAAAUUCGUAGAUAUUCGCAAGAACACCAGUGGCGAAGGCGGCUCACUGGCCCGUUACCGACGCUCAGGCGCGACAGCGUGGGGAGCAAACAGG
rnacentral:rRNA from 1 species